rnacentral:rRNA from 1 species
GAUGAACGCUGGCGGCGUGCCUAAUACAUGCAAGUCGAACGAAACUUCUUUAUCACCGAGUGCUUGCACUCACCGAUAAAGAGUUGAGUGGCGAACGGGUGAGUAACACGUGGGCAACCUGCCCAAAAGAGGGGGAUAACACUUGGAAACAGGUGCUAAUACCGCAUAACCAUAGUUACCGCAUGGUAACUAUGUAAAAGGUGGCUAUACUACCGCUUUUGGAUGGGCCCGCGGCGCAUUAGCUAGUUGGUAGGGUAAAGGCUUACCAAGGCAAUGAUGCGUAGCCGAAUUGAGAGGUUGAUCGGCCACAUUGGGACUGAGACAAGGCCCAAACUCCUACGGGAGGCAGCAGUAGGGAAUCUUCCCCAAUGGGCGAAAGCCUGAUGGAGCAACGCCGCGUGGGUGAAGAAGGUCUUCGGAUCGUAAAACCCUGUUGUUAGAGAAGAAAGUGCGUGAGAGUAACUGUUCACGUUUCGACGGUAUCUAACCAGAAAGCCACGGCUAACUACGUG